rnacentral:rRNA from 1 species
GACAGAGGUCCCGAGCGUUAGGCGGAAUCACUGGGCUUAAAGCGUGUGUAGGCGGAGUGCUAAGUACCUUGUGAAAUCCCACGGCUCAACCGUGGAACUGCUUGGUAUACUGGUUCUCUUGAGCCACCUAGGGGCAACCGGAACAAACGGUGGAGCGGUGAAAUGCGUAGAUAUCGCUUGGAACGCCGAAGGUGAAAAACAGGUCGCUGGGGAUGUGCCGACGCUGAGACACGAAAGCCAGGGGAGCAAACGGG